rnacentral:rRNA from 1 species
AACCUCCGCAAUGUACGAAAGUGCGACGGGGGGAUCCCAAGUGUUAUGCUUAAAGGUAUGACUUUUCAUUAGUGUAAAAAGCUUUUAGAAUAAGAGCUGGGCAAGACCGGUGCCAGCCGCCGCGGUAACACCGGCAGCUCGAGUGGUAGCUGUUUUUAUUGGGCCUAAAGCGUUCGUAGCCGGUUUAAUAAGUCUUUGGUGAAAGCUUGUAGCUUAACUAUAAGAAUUGCUGGAGAUACUAUUGGACUUGAAGUCGGGAGAGGUUAGAGGUACUACCGGGGUAGGGGUGAAAUCCUAUAAUCCUGGGAGGACCACCUGUGGCGAAGGCGUCUAACUGGAACGAUCUUGACGGUGAGUAACGAAAGCCAGGGGCGCGAACCGGAUUAGAUACCCGGGUAGUCCUGGCCGUAAACGAUGUGGACUUGGUGUUGGAAUGGCUUUGAGUUGUUCCGGUGCCGAAGGGAAGCUGUUAAGUCCACCGCCUGGGAAGUACGGUCGCAAGAUUAAAACUUAAGGGAAUU